rnacentral:lncRNA from 1 species
AUCUCGUGGGAGAUCCAUGUGUAUCUGAGGCCUUCUGAAGAAACAGAAGCCAACAGGAAUCCAGCACCAAUCUGGAUGACACAGAGUGAGUUAGUCUGCGGCUGUGAAGCCAGCUCCAGCUAUUGCUGAGACGUUAAGGAGGUGGUUCUUCACCAUGAUAUGCAUCAGUUUCUCUUUCUACAACAAGAUGUUCAGUAGUGGAGGCACCAGGACUACCGGAUACUGGAAGAGGUGGUUAUGAAUGACCUGCUAUUCCUUAUCAUUGCCUUUGGGGGUGCCACCAAGCUGGGCUGGAGGCAGCAGCAGCUGGUGUGUCUCAGUGGGAUCCUCGAAGUAAUGACUGUCAUUUGCUGGACGGGUGGAAAUCAUGGUGGUCCUCUGUGCAGUCACCACCUGGUCCCUGUCACACGCCACAGAGAUUGGUAUAAAUCAAACUCUCUCAGCAAUGGGGAUCUUGAGGAAAUAGAUAUUUUAAAGUGUGAGAAAGGAAGUGCCAGAGAUGUAGCUAUUACAGUCUGCUAGAAGAGCAAGGGGGUUAUCCCACUCCUUGGACUGAGUGCUGAGAGAAGUGGUCAGCAAGUGGGGACAUCUCAGUGACCAUGACAGGAGAAGUUCAAAUCAAGGGAAAGGUAGAGGGCAGGUCUUCCUGUACUGUGAAAGCAGAGUAUCAGUAUAAAUAGUGGCAGUGAGAUCUGAGCUGAAAUAACAGCUAGGUCUCUGCCUCUGAAGAUAAGACAGGUAUCACAUAAGUAGCAUGUAGGGAACAACCAUGUACACUCUUUCAGGAGAUGGGAUCUUUGAGCUCAGAAAUUAUUCAUCACACAUUUCAUUUUGAGGAGUAAACUCUGAGAAGCAGGAGGAUCGAGGGUGAAAUCUCCACCAUUUCUGCCCGUGGCCAAGAUCUGCUCCUUCUCUUGUUCUCUGAGCCUAGCCUCCAAAGGUCUGCGUUUGUAAGGUUAGUCUCAGAACUGAUCUCAGCAGAGGAAGAGCAGGCUAUUGGCACUUAGAUGUUUAUGCCCCUUGGCCACUGGGUUUUUCUUGUACCUGGUAUUAAGCAGAUCAUCCAGAAACUUUGUCUUUAUCUGAAAAAUAAAAAUAAUAAUAAAGCUGUUAAGG